rnacentral:lncRNA from 1 species
GAAAAGAAAGUGGUCGAUUUAGGAAAGUGGAUGUGGAUUCAGGAAGGCAUGAGAUUUGGGAAAAAGAAAGAGCUGAGAAUCUUCUAAAAAGAGCUGCACCCUUGGACAAGCAGAAUAAUAGUGGAUGUUGUGAAGGAAGGUUGUUGAAGAAGAAAGAAAAAGCCAUGAGGAGCAGUUUUUUAAUAUGAAUACCAUUUUUUUAAUGAGGAGGGGAGAGGUGGUGGCUGUGAAAAAUGACCCCAAACAAGCCAACAAACUGAGAAACAGCUGGGGCAGUCCCAUUUCAGAAUAGCCCUAAAGGUGCUGUUUAAUUACAGAUCAUUAUGCAAAUACAUUCUAACUAAAAGGAGCUUAACAUUUCAGUUUCUCUCAUGUUAACCACACCAAAU